rnacentral:rRNA from 1 species
UACGUAGGGUGCAAGCGUUAUCCGGAAUUACUGGGCGUAAAGAGUUGCGUAGGUGGCAUAGUAAGCGAGUAGUGAAAGCGUGUGGCUCAACCAUACAUCCAUUACUUGAACUGCUAAGCUAGAGGAUGAGAGAGGUUAUUGGAAUUCCCAGUGUAGGAGUGAAAUCCGUAGAUAUUGGGAGGAACACCGAUGGCGUAGGCAGAUAACUGGCUCAUUCCUGACACUAAGGCACGAAAGCGUGGGGAGCAAACGGG